rnacentral:lncRNA from 1 species
AUGGGGUCCAACAGCUCAAAGCGUCUGAGGCAGAAAACAUUUGAAGGUCCCAAAAGACCAGAACAGCGAAAGGAAUUUCCUUCAGCUGUGACACUGGUACAACCUCACCCGAGUGAGGAGAAGUUAUUCAAGGAGCUGCAACACGUGGGGCUAAACUAUGACUGGCUCCUUCAGGGGCACCAAAGUCCUGAAGCUGAAAAAGUACUACAACCGCCGCCAAAUAUUCCACAAGUUAAAACGCAAGAGGAAAAAGGCACGCAAACAGACAGGGGAAGUCUUCUGAAAGAGUCGCCUGUCGCGACCAGGUCUACGGCAGAAAAGGAGAGCAGCGGCAGAGAACUUGUGGAUGGCAUAAAGGCUGUAUGGACCCCAGGCGAGCUCUACGGUCUUUUAAGAGAUGCUCCUGACCCCAUCAAAACACCCAGCGACUUCCACAGGUGGCUGCGUUUCACCUGCAUGGUGUAUCAGCCGUCUCCUGCUGAGCUCAAAAAGUUGCUGAAGUUAGUUUAUAACCACAAGUGGGAAAACGUGAAGGAACAUUUUGACUGGCCAGGAGUGGAUGGCGAGGCCAGGUGGCGACGCACUUGUGAUAUGACAGCAUGGCUCGACACACAGUGCGCCACCUCGAUUAAAAACGCAGCCUGGAAUGACCCUGAAUUUGUGCCCCCUUGGAUGAUUCUUCAGAAACCUGGAGAGUCGGUGGCAGAUUUCACUGAACGUUUCCACCGACUGUGGAAUUCCACUAUGAGUGAAGCAAAUGUUUUUAUGUUUAAUCUUUACCUUGUAAAUAAGUUGCAGCCUCACGUGGCGAAGCUUUUGAAGGAUCAUGUUGAGUGGGAAACUUUUACUUUUUCCAAGAUCAAAUUUAUUUUAGAAAACAUGGAAUUAAAGGGCAUGUUUAACUCAAAACAUCAGCCAUCUGUAACUCAUCCGGGAGACUGGAGAUCAGAUCUGUUGGCACUGCCAGAGCCACCUCGAAGCAGCCAGACACACAGGAAUAAGAGAAAAGAUCGCUGCUUUUACUGCAGCAAGUUUGGACACUGGGCCAGGGAGUGCAGAGCCCGACGUCAGGAGUACUCACUCGAGUACAGUUCACAAUGGAUUGUACUCGAGUGA